AAAACAGAGAGCUCAACACACUGGGUGAAAAGACAAUGUGCAGUACAACAAAAAUGUGGUGUUUUUGGAAAAUAAGGCCAUGUAAACCUAUUCUGAUACAACCUCAAAUACAAUUAUGAGCCU